GCUUGUCUCAAAGAUUAAGCCAUGCAUGUCUAAGUAUAAGCCUUUACACGGUGAGACUGCGAAUGGCUCAUUAAAUCAGAAACUGUUUAUUUGAUAGUGCCUACUACUUGGAUAACCGUAGUAAUUCUAGAGCUAAUACAUGCGUCAAACGUCGACUUCUGGAAGACGUGUAUUUAUUAGAUAAAAAACCAAUUCCGCAAGGAUUUUUUGGUGAUUCAUAAUAACUGUUCGGAGCCCAUGGUCUUGCACUGGGGCCAGGUCAUUCAAAUUUCUGCCCUAUCAGCUUUCGAUGGUAGUGUAGUGGACUACCAUGGCUUUAACGGGUGACGGAGAAUUAGGGUUCGAUUCCGGAGAGGGAGCCUGAGAAACGGCUACCACAUCCAAGGAAGGCAGCAGG
rnacentral:rRNA from 1 species